AUUGAACGCUGGCGGCAUGCCUUACACAUGCAAGUCGAACGGUAACAGGUCUUCGGAUGCUGACGAGUGGCGAACGGGUGAGUAAUACAUCGGAACGUGCCUAGUAGUGGGGGAUAACUACUCGAAAGAGUGGCUAAUACCGCAUGAGAUCUACGGAUGAAAGCAGGGGAUCGCAAGACCUUGUGCUACUAGAGCGGCCGAUGGCGGAUUAGGUAGUUGGUGGGAUAAAAGCUUACCAAGCCGACGAUCUGUAGCUGGUCUGAGAGGACGAUCAGCCACACUGGGACUGAGACACGGCCCAGACUCCUACGGGAGGCAGCAGUGGGGAAUUUUGGACAAUGGGCGCAAGCCUGAUCCAGCCAUGCCGCGUGAAGGAUGACGGCCCUCUGGGUUGUAAACUUCUUUUAUACGGGAAUAAACCCCUCGAUUCUUCGGGGGCUGAAUGUACUGUAAGAAUAAGGAUCGGCUAACUUCGUGCCAGCAGCCGCAGUAA
rnacentral:rRNA from 1 species